UUCUUUUUAGGUGACAGCCCCCGUGGAACUGCUGUGGCACAAGAGUGCCUGUGGCAUGGAGCUGGCGUAACCACCAUCCCAAAGAGCCCUAGGAGUAGGAGUGGCUGGCUAGGGAAUGAGGGUGUGACUGGAACACCGUAACUCUUUCCAGAUUCCAGAAGGUAAUUGGGCACAAGGUCCUGUUUUGGAAUAGAAGGAUGUGGAAAAGGCAGGAUCUCAGACGGUAUUUUGUGGGGAAUUGAAGGCCCAUCUGUAUCACAGACCACACUGUUGUGAUGCACAGUGUGCCAAAAGACCAAGAAUGGAACAGCUCACUGAAUCCAUGAAGCAGCAAGUGACAUGGAUUAGAAUAGACACCUGAAAGCAUUAAAUUGACAGUCUGUUUUUUCUUAUCCUUAUUUUUAAGAAUUCACUAUGCAGAAGAAAUCAUUUAGACAUUAAAACUGAAGUCAGAUUUCUCCGCACAUUUUAUUGUAUUUUCCUAUG